rnacentral:tRNA from 1 species
GGGCCGAUAGCUCAGCUGGUUAGAGCGCAAAGCUUAUACCUUUGAUGUCCCUGGUUCGAAUCCAGGUCGGCCCA